AGAGAGGACAAAACACAACCACAUGCACACACUUUUACACACACAGAACCAUAUAUGUUUAUCGACCUGAUACAGGGAAAUCAGUGGGCUACGGGUGCUGUCCCCCCAUUUGAAAUCUAAGCAUGCCAAGAAGAAGGCAGAGAGGUGAAAGAAAGUGGAGAGAGAUUGAAUGAAAGAAACUGAGGAGCAAAGGAAGAGAGAGAGAGAAAGAGAGAAAAUAACACCACACAGCAGCAGCUCCAGGGCUUGACAUCAGCGAGAUUUACUGCACUAAUAUGCCUAGCUGCCUGCCAUAAUUAGUUUCUGUAAAAACCCUAUCUUCUCGCUCAGAUUCAAUUAAAUCAUACGGUGUUUAUUCGCAAGAUUUCUUAUUCCACGAUGGGAGGGCUGGCAGGACCCCAAGCUCAGCUCACCCACCUGUUCCUUGCCUGGCACUAUUUCUGUAUCAGUCACGUUUUCAGGUGGUCAGGCAGCCAGGGGAUGAAUGGGUGAGUGUUUGUGCUCGGAGAUACAGGAAGACACCACACACAGCAGCCAGGGCCCUGAAUGAUGUCAUUUUCUUCAUGGCUUAAAAGGAAAACAUGCACCAGAAAUGGGUACCAGAGUGAUAGUGAACCUGGUGUCUGAUCCUAACACUGGUUAUUUUUAAACCCCCUUGUGUCAAGGAGGCAAAACCAGAGUGAUGGUUAUUAAAAGUCAUUUUAAGAACAGGCUCUAGGCUUGUUAGAGAAAAUCCUAACAAACCUAGGCUAUAAGAUAGCAAAACAUCUGAUUCAGGGAAUUGCUCUGUGUGGGAUUUCCUGGUCACUCUCCAGGGGUGACUUGGACGGAAUGCACUAUAUGUGCUGCCCUCCAUUGCCCUUGGGGUGAAAAAACAGCCCCUCAAAAUGCCACCAGUGUAAGAGAUAUGCAUGUGGGGAGGCUAUGGGGAGGAGAAGAGAGUCCUGCUCCUAAUGAAAAAACAGAUUUCUGCAUGACACCACGCUCAGCUGCAAGAGCAGUUUUUUCCUCCUGAAGCUGAAAUCAAUAUUAAAUUAAAUCUGUGUGCUUUGUCUCCAUGAAUAACUUUCUAACAUUCUACAUUGGCCAAUCAGAAUCCCUUCACCCUUGUCAAUUCCACUUGGGUAACUUUUUUUUUUUUUUUACUCUGUUUCUUUGCCACCAAACUGCGUGUUCCCAUAGGAAAGACACAGCAUAACGCAUCAGUUGCUCCUUGCUACUAAACAGUUGGUGGGAAAACUAAAAUCUGCAGGGAAGAAGAGUAAGAUAAUUUUUUAACUCUUCAAGGGCACAUUUCCUGUUAACCAGCUCUGUCCCCUGGGACAAGUGUGUUAAAUGAAUAUUGACUUGGGGAAGAAUCUGGGAUCAAAUAGGAUUCUGAGCCUGUGAAGAUGCUUCUCUCUCCUCAUCCCCAUGCUGGUGGGUGAUUUUUUUAAGGUCUUCAUCUUCUAAUUCCCCUAUUUCA
rnacentral:lncRNA from 1 species